AGUGAACGCUGGCGGUAGGCCUAACACAUGCAAGUCGAACGGCAGCACAGUAAGAGCUUGCUCUUACGGGUGGCGAGUGGCGGACGGGUGAGGAAUACAUCGGAAUCUACUUUUUCGUGGGGGAUAACGUAGGGAAACUUACGCUAAUACCGCAUACGACCUACGGGUGAAAGCAGGGGAUCUUCGGACCUUGCGCGAUUGAAUGAGCCGAUGUCGGAUUAGCUAGUUGGCGGGGUAAAGGCCCACCAAGGCGACGAUCCGUAGCUGGUCUGAGAGGAUGAUCAGCCACACUGGGACUGAGACACGGUCCAGACUCCUACGGGAGGCAGCAGUGGGGAAUAUUGGACAAGGGGCGCAAGCCUGAUCCAGCCAUACCGCGUGGGUGAAGAAGGCCUUCGGGUUGUAAAGCCCUUUUGUUGGGAAAGAAAAGCAGCAGGUUAAUACCCCGCUGUUCUGACGGUACCCAAAUAAUAAGCACCGGCUAACUUCGUG
rnacentral:rRNA from 1 species